rnacentral:rRNA from 1 species
UGGGGAAUAUUGGACAAUGGGCGGAAGCCUGAUCCAGCAACGCCGCGUGAAGGAUGACGGCCUUCGGGUUGUAAACCUCUUUCAGUACCGACGAAGCGCCGGUAAUGGUGGUGACGGUAGGUACAGAAGAAGCACCGGCCAACUACGUGCCAGCAGCCGCGGUAAUACGUAGGGUGCGAGCGUUGUCCGGAAUUAUUGGGCGUAAAGGGCUCGUAGGCGGUUUGUCGCGUCGGGAGUGAAAACACCGGGCUUAACUCGGUGCUUGCUUUCGAUACGGGCAGACUAGAGGCAUGCAGGGGAGAACGGAAUUCCUGGUGUAGCGGUGAAAUGCGCGGAUAUCAGGAGGAACACCGGUGGCGAAGGCGGUUCUCUGGGCAUGUCCUGACGCUGAGGAGCGAAAGUGUGGGGAGCGAA